rnacentral:rRNA from 1 species
AGUCGCGGGACGCAGACCCGAAGCCCGGCGAUCUAUCCAUGGCCAGGAUGAAGCGCGGGUAAAACCACGUGGAGGUCCGAACCCACUAACGUUGAAAAGUUAGGGGAUGAGCUGUGGAUUGGAGUGAAAGGCUAAUCAAGCCGGGGGAUAGCUGGUUCUCCCCGAAAAAUAUUGAGGUAUUGCCUCGGAUGAAUUGCACCGGAGGUAGAGCACUGGAUGGGCUAGGGGUCUUACCGGACUACCAAACCCAACCAAACUCCGAAUGCCGGUGACAACUAUCCGGGAGACAGGCUGCGGGAGAUAAGUUUCGUAGCCGAGAGGGAAAGAGCCCAGAUCGUCAGCUAAGGUCCCAAAGUUCGUGCUCAGUGUUAAAGGAUGUGAUCGCGCAUUGACAGCCAGGAGGUUGGCUUAGAAGCAGCCACCCUUUAAAGAGUGCGUAAUAGCUCACUGGUCAACGCGAGAUCGCGCCGAAAAUAUAACGGGG